rnacentral:rRNA from 1 species
AUUGAACGCUGGCGGCAGGCCUAACACAUGCAAGUCGAGCGGAUGAAAGGGGCUUGCUCCUGGAUUCAGCGGCGGACGGGUGAGUAAUACGCAGGAAUCUACCUAGUAGUGGGGGAUAACGUUUCGAAAGGGGCGCUAAUACCGCAUACGUUCUGAGGAAGAAAGCAGGGGAUCGCAAGACCUUGCGCUAUUAGAUGAGCUUGCGUCCGAUUAGCUAGUUGGUGGGUAAAGGCCUACCAAGGCGACGAUCGGUAACUGGUCUGAGAGGAUGAUCAGCCACACUGGGACUGAGACACGGCCCAGACUCCUACGGGAGGCAGCAGUGGGGAAUAUUGGACAAUGGGCGCAAGCCUGAUCCAGCAAUGCCGCGUGUGUGAAGAAGGCCUGCGGGUUGUAAAGCACUUUAAGCAGGGAGGAGGGGUACGUGGCGUGAAUAGCGUUGGUAUCUGACGUUACCUGCAGAAUAAGCACCGGCUAACUUCGUG